GCAGCACGGAUUAGUUUACUAAUUGGGUGGCGACCGGCGCACGGGUGCGUAACGCGUAUGCAACCUACCUUGUACUGGGGUAUAGCCCGGAGAAAUUCGGAUUAAUCCCCCAUAGUAUUAAACAACCGCAUGGUUGAAUAAUUAAAGGUUACGGUACAAGAUGGGCAUGCGUCCUAUUAGCUAGAUGGUGAGGUAACGGCUCACCAUGGCGACGAUAGGUAGGGGGCCUGAGAGGGUGGUCCCCCACACUGGUACUGAGACACGGACCAGACUCCUACGGGAGGCAGCAGUGAGGAAUAUUGGUCAAUGGGCGCAAGCCUGAACCAGCCAUGCCGCGUGCAGGAAGAAUGCCCUAUGGGUUGUAAACUGCUUUUAUUUAGGAAUAAACUCUUGUACGUGUACAAGCCUGAAGGUACUAAAUGAAUAAGCACCGGCUAACUCCGUGCCAGCAGCCGCGGUAAUACGGAGGGUGCAAGCGUUAUCCGGAAUCAUUGGGUUUAAAGGGUCCGC
rnacentral:rRNA from 1 species